GGUGGCUCAGUGGUAGAGUGCUUGCCUUGCAUGCAUGAGGCCCUGGGUUUGAUUCCGCAGCACCA
rnacentral:tRNA from 1 species